rnacentral:rRNA from 1 species
AAAGGCCGCAGUAUUUUGACUGUGCUAAGGUAGCAUAAUCAUUAGAUUUUUAAUUAAAAUCUUGCUUGAAUGGUUAUAUGAAAUAAAUUCUUUUUUAUUUUAAUGUAAUUUAACUUUAUUUUUUAGUUAAAAAGCUAAAAUAUAAAAAUGGGACGAGAAGACCCUAUAGAAUUUUAUAGCUAUAUAUUAAUUUAUUAUUUAUUAUUUAUAAAUAUUACUUAUAAAAACUAUUUUGUUGGGGUGAUAAUUAAAUUUAAUUAACUUUUAAUUAUAUUAUCAUAUAUAAGUGUUUAUUUGAUCUUUUUUUAUUGAUUAUAAAAAAAAAUUACCUUAGGGAUAACAGCAUAAUAUUAUUAAGAAGUACUUAUUUUUAAUAUUGUUUAUGACCUCGAUGUUGGAUUAAAUAAAAUUUUUAAAUUAAAAGUUUAAAUAAUUAGUCUGUUCGACUAUUAAUUAUUUACAUGAUCUGAGUUCAAACCGGUGUAAGCCAGGUCGGUUUCUAUCU